rnacentral:rRNA from 1 species
GUUAAAGGUACCCGUACCGCAAACCGACACAGGUGGGUGAGGAGAGUAUCCUAAGGCCAGCGAGAGAACUGUUGUUAAGGAACUCGGCAAAAUGACCCCGUAACUUAGGGAUAAGGGGUGCCACCAUCAGGUGGCCGCAGAGAAUAGGCCCAAGCGACUGUUUACCAAAAACAUAGGUUUCUGCUAAGUCGCAAGACGAUGUAUAGGAGCUGACGCCUGCCCGGUGCUGGAAGGUUAA